rnacentral:lncRNA from 1 species
ACAGAAUUAGCAACUUACCAAGUGACGUUAUAAACAGAAUUUUGUCACAUUUGCCGAUUAGGGAAGCAGUUAGAACAAGUGUUUUAUCAAGCAAGUGGAGGAACAAAUCGGCUAUGCUUUCUCAUCUUUUGUUUGAUGAUCGGUGCACCUCGGAUCAAAACCCUACAACCUUUACAGGCAUUGUUGAUCAUGUACUCUUGGGUCACAUUAGCCCCAUAUACAGGUUCAGGAUCAUUCAUUCCCGACCUCAAGUCUGUAGAGAUAUUGAUCGAUGGAUUCUUCAUCUGUCAAGAAACUCUAUCAAAGAGUUGUUGCUUAAUAUCAAAUGUAGUGGGCAUCGCCACAAGAUGCCUUCAUGUUUGUUUUCUUGUCAAGAUCUCAUUUAUUUAGUGUUGUAUGAUUGUUUGCUACAACCUCCAUCCAAGUUCCAAGGAUUCAGGAGUUUGAAGACUUGUCGUCUUUUUAAUGUUACCCUGGACCAAGAUGUGCUUGAGAAUCUGAUUGUCUGCUGUCCUCUCCUUGAGAGAUUAACAUUGUGGCACUGUGAUGCAUUAACCCGGUUCAAGAUUGAUGCACCGAAUCUCAAAUUCCUUCAUUUUAAAGGCGUGCUUGAGGAUGUUAGUCUUGUGAAUACCUUAAAACUGGCCGAAGUUCACAUUAGUUUGACUGCUGAUGUUGCAAAUGACCAAAGACGGACUGCUGGAAGUUGUAGCAAUUUGCUCAAUUUUUUUGUUCAUCUGCCUCAUAUUCGAUGUCUUCGUGUCAAAUCUAACUUUUUGAAGGUAAUGGUUUUUGUGGCUUCAUUCUUUCAGUCAAUAAUCAGAUUUUGUGGCAAUCAGAAGUUGACUGUAUUUUCAAUCUUCUGUUUUCUGAACCUUUCUGUUCCAGUAUUUGGCUGUCGGAGUCUUGCCAGGAAAGCUACCUCAACCGUGUCUAUAUCUGAAUUUUUUUUCUAUACAUUUAAGCUUCAACGAUCCGAAGGAGAUUUUAACUGUUUUAUGUCUUCUGAGAAGCUUCCCUGCUCUACAGGAACUUGAAAUUUCAGUGAGUUUGUUGUAUUAUGUUGAUGCAUGCAUAUCCUGGUGUUCAAUUAAGAAUGUCAACCCAACUCUCUACACUAAUUGUAUUUUACUGUUUAGAGAGCUAUUUUAUGUGAUGUUCAAGCAUCUGAUGAUAUAGACUUAUGCAGGCCUUGAAUGAGUAUGAGGGUGCUGAGGGAGAAGUGAACUACGGGUUAGACAACAACCAGAAUUGCCAAUUGACCAAACUGCGAAUUGUCAAAAUAACCGGCAUCUAUGGUGACAAAGCUGAACUAGAUUUCAUCAGGUUUUUGCUUUCAAGUUCACCUGUGCUCGAGAAGAUGACUGUGAAGCCUGCUACUGCUAGAGAUUUUCAACUAGUAAAAAUGUUGCUCCAGUUUAAGCGUGUCUCGGAGAAUGCAGAGAUAUUCUACUUAGACCCUUGAUUCCUCAAUGAAACAUGUUUGGCAGAUAAGAUACGAGGACUUACCGGCAGAAACUGAAUGCGGAUUUUGAUAGUUUGAUACAAUUAUCUGUUAUGUAUUUUUCUUUGAACAAUGCCUCAGUGUCUUGCUAGGUGCAUUGUUCAGUGUCUUACUAGGUGCCUUUUUUUGGAGUGUUAUGUCUUGUCAAACGAUGCCAGUAGAUAUGUCUUCUUUUCUUUUACUAAUCUCAUGUUCAACUUGGACUCUGAUGUUAAAUUUUGACCCUAAGAUGUCUGAUGAUAUGUCUCGAAUACAAGAGGAGUAAUUUGAAAGUGUUUUUAGAAUGACUUAAAAGCGCUUACAAGCCAUAGGUCAUUUUGUAGAAAAGGUUGAAAGUUAUAAAUGGAGAAGGGCCGCAUGCGGUGGUCAUAUUCAAGAACCUCUUCAGGAGUUAUUAAAUGAACAUUUAGAAUGCGCGACGCAGCCAAACUAGAAGAAAGUACAUCGGCAGCAAUUAUUUGUAUUCGAUUCAGCAGUAUAACCAAAAGAAAAGGUUUUGUUCAGAUUACCUCCGGAAUAGAGGGCAAUGCCUGAUUGCUCUCCGUUUUGGGAUAGCACGACAACAAUUCUCGGUUGUACAACGAGUUUAGAACAAAACUGAUCUCAUUUCUAACAUAUGGAGUUUUACGUAUUACAAGUCAUCAAAAUUUAUCGCUGAGUCGCUAGACCAAUAAAUUUCUUUAGAACUUGUAGCUGAAUUAGCUUCCAUAACAUAGUCCGAGUCUUUGUCUAGGGACUCCGCUAAAUCUGCCUCCCAUAAGCCUAACCUGCAGACUCUCUUGUAAGUUUCGUAACUCGAUGCUCUUAUGCCCUCCGAAACAACAACAACAACAACAACAAAGCCUUUUCCCACUAAGUGGGGUCGGCUAUAUGAAUCCUAGAACGCCAUUGCGCUCGGUUUUGUGUCAUGUCCUCCGUUAGAUCCAAGUACUCUAAGUCUUUUCUUAGAGUCUCUUCCAAAGUUUUCCUAGGUCUUCCUCUACCCCUUCGGCCCUGAACCUCUGUCCUGUAGUCACAUCUUCGAACCGGAGCAUCAGUAGGCCUUCUUUGCACAUGUCCAAAUCACCGGAACCGAUUUUCUCUCAUCUUUCAUUCAAUUUCGGCUACUCCUACUUUACCUCGGAUAUCCUCAUUCCCAAUCUUAUCCUUUCUCGUGUGCCCACACAUCCCACGAAGCAUCCUCAUCUCCGCCACACCCAUUUUGUGUACGUGUUGAUGCUUCAACGCUCAACAUUAUGUGCCAUACAACAUCGCUGGCCUUAUUGCCGUCCUAUAAAAUUUUCCCUUGAGCUUCAGUGGCCUACGACGGUCACACAACACGCCGGAUGCACUCUUACACUUCAUCCAUCCAGCUUGUAUUCUAUGGUUGAGAUCUCCAUCUAAUUCUCCAUUCUCUUGCACGAUAGAUCCUAGGUAGCGAAAAUGGUCGCUUUUUGUGAUCUUCGCUAGAUUGCUCCGGUCAUUAGUGUGGAUAAGUAUAUAAAUGGAUAGAGACAGGAAAGCAAACAUAAGAUGUACGUGGUUCACCCAGAUUGGCUACGUCCACGGAAUAGAGGAGUUCUCAUUAAUUGUGAAAUGUUUACACAAGUACAUAGGUUCAAGCUCUCCUUUAGUGAGUACAAGUGAAUGAUUUAGUACAAAUGACAUUAGGAAAUAUUGUGGGAGAAUGAUCUCGUAAUCACGAAACUUCUAAGUAUCGGAGUGCGGUAUCGUCUUGACUUGCCUUAUCUGUCUCAUAGGUAGAUGUGGCAUCUUCUCUGGAAGUACUCUUCCUCCAUUCAGGGGUGGUAUCUUUAACUGGUGGAGAUGCACAAGGUAAUGUAUCAAUUUCACUUGAAGCUUACUUGUAGUUUCAGGCUUGGUCAAGCGCGAUACAAACCAUGUAGUAGGAGUCCCCCAAGUCGCCGAGCUAGAGGAUCUGCUGAAAGAGGUGACAGACAAGGUAAGCAAUCAGAGCUCCGGCUGAUUGUUCACAUUCUCCCUAUCUUGCAGGCAGCAUGAAGGAUAAAGAGAAGAAAAUGAGAAGAGAUGAUAUGGGAUACUUUUGCUUUUGAAGAAGUAACUUUCCACAGGCUUAUUCUUGAACUGAGCUGGAGGGUUUUCUGGUUUCCUCCAGAGUAUAAGGCCGACUGAAGAAUUUGAGGGUCAAAACAAGUCCAUCAAAUCUAGAGUACGUUCGACCCUGCUGAUAUGAGAUACUUUUGCUUUGACAGAGUAAUGGAUGUAUCGGCACGUGUGCUGUUUCGCUUGUCUCCACAUGCUUCCUUGUAUCCUUCUCCCUUGCCCUAUCUGUUCCUCAGGCAGAUGCGGUAUCUUUCCUGGAAGCAUAAGAUGUUGAAGAUGAGUACUCGAGAGCAAUGGCAGGUAAGUAAUCAGGUAAGGGGUUCCAGGCAGUCAGUUCCUGGCUGGAAGCUUGAUUCCAAGUGCUGACUGAUUGCUCUCUUUCUCCUUGUCUUGCAGAUAAGAACAAGGCCAAAGGAAAAGACAGGGAAAAAGCAUGAUAUGGGAUACUCUUGCUUUUAACCCUGAUGAUAUGAGAUAUUCUUGCUCUAGUAUAGCUUGUUUGCAGAGAUAUUAUCGGGGGGAAAGAAAGCUGAAUAUUUCGAAAGGCUUCAUUGAGAGUGCCCUCUCAGAUAUGAGGAAGGGUUGAGCAUUUUUGCAGGUCUGCCUGUCCGUUGGGAAUAGAGGUCGACAUAUAUAGGAGUCUCCUUAACAACAAGUAGUAAUGCUAUUCCUUUACCCUACUUGGUCAUAGCACGGUAGUGGGAGCUGCUAGCUUCACAUGUUUUAACUCUGUCAGAGCACUUUGAAAAAGUGGUCUGUGGUAUCUGGAAAGGUGAUGUUGCGUGUGAAGAUUACAGACAGCUUUAUCCAAGGAGAUCCGGCUCUUGAAGUUGGGAAAGUGUUACCUCUUCGGUUUUCGAACAAGCAAUCCUAUCGGGGAUCUGGCUCUCGAGAUUCGGAGAACGAUGCCUCUUCGAUUUUUGAGAAAGCAAUCAUGUUGGGGGUCUGGCUCUCGAGAUUCGGAGAGCGGUGUCUCUUCGAUUUUUGAGAAAGUAAUCAUGUUGGGAGUCUGGCUCUCGAGAUUCGAAGGGCGGUGCCUCUUCGAUUUUGGAGCAAGCAAACUUGUGGGGAGUGUUUUCUCGAAUGUGAGUAAAGGUUGGGCAUGUUUGCUAGUCUACCUUGCCACGAAGCACAGAGGUUGACACAUAGGGACUUUCCAAUUAUCCAGCAAUGGUACUGUUCUUUUACCCUCUCUUCGAUUUUUGAGAAAGUAGUCAUGUUGGGAGUCUGGCUCUCGAGAUUCGGAGGACGGUGCCUCUUCGAUUUUGGAGCAAGCAAUCUUGUUGGGAGUGUUUUCUCGAAUGUGAGUAAAGGUUGGGCAUGUUUGCUAGUCUACCUUGCCACGAAGCACAGAGGUUGACACACAGGGACUUUCCAAUUAUCCAGCAGUGGUACUGUUCCUUUACCCUUGUGGGUAAUAAUAUGGUAGCUAGACCUUCAAAAUUUAUGUGUCUAAACUUUGUUAGUGUUGUUUCUUUGCUAUUCUUUUACCCUUCUUGGUCAGAGCGAUGUAGUGGGAGUUGCAAGCUUCACGUGCUCAACUUUGGCAGAGAACUUUGGCAAAGUUAUCUGUGGUACCCAUGAGCUACUGUUGCGUGUGGGAAGUGGGUGAUUGAACAGUAAGACUCAUGUGCUUUCUACUUCACCAGAAGUCUUUGACAGAAUGCCCAUAAUUUCCGCAAAGCUGAGUGUGCGUGUGACAGGUGCUGACAAGGCUGGAAAAGUAGGUGCCUCUUCGAUUUCUGAGAUCGGCCCUCGUGGUCUCUGAGCAGCCCAGCUUUUGAGAAAGCAAGCGCCUCUUCGAUUUCUGAGAUCGGCCUUCGUGGUCUUUGAGCAACCCAGCUUUUGAGAAAGCAAAGGCCUUUUCAAUUUCUGAGAUCGACCCUCGUGGUCUCUGAGCAGCCCAGCUUUUGAGAAAGCAAACGCCUCUUCGAUUUCAGAGCAGGCGCCUCUUCGAUUUCUGAAGCUCUGUCGAGUGCAGAUUUUUAUAAGGGCUGGCAUUAAGUUCCAAAGCACACUUGAAUCUCCACCAGUAGAAGCUCCAUUCUUGCACUUCUUAGAUCUUGAUUUGUUCGACCUCUUCUCUCUUCAACACCUUUGAAAAUGUUGGGCCCCUCCGACCGUCGUUUUGACUUGAACCUUGUUGAAGAGGCAGCUCCGCUUUCUCCAGACAACAUAUGGCGCCCAUCCUUCGUCUCCCCUACUGGUUCUCUUACUGUUGGGGAUUCCAUGAUGAAGAAUGAUAUGACCGCUGCGGUGGUGGCCAGGAACCUUCUCACUCCCAAAGAUAACAGACUACUUUCCAAAAGGUCUGAUGAGUUAGCUGUUAAGGAUUCUCUGGCUCUCAGUGUUCAGUGUGCAGGUUCUGUGUCUAAUAUGGCCCAAAGCCUAUUUGCUCGAACCCGCCAAGUUGAAUCAUUGGCGGCUGAAGUGAUGAAUCUCAAACAUGAGAUUAGAGGGCUCAAGUAUGAGAAUAAACAGUUGCACCGGCUCGCACAUGACUAUGCUACAAACAUGAAGAGGAAGCUUGACCAGAUGAAGGAAUCUGAUGGUCAGGUUUUACUUGAUCAUCAGAGAUUUGUGGGUUUAUUCCAAAGGCAUUUAUUGCCUUCGUCUUCUGGGGCUGUACCGCGUAAUGAAGCUCCAAAUGAUCAACCUCUGAUGCCUCCUCCUUCUAGGGUUCUGUCCAGUACUGAGGCUCCAAAUGAUCCUCCUCCGGUGCCUUCUCUUUCUGGGGCUCUACCGACUGCUGAGACUUCUCCUAAGCAACCUUUGUGAAGGCUCCAUCUUGUUUGUUUAUUUUGACUUAUGUAUAUGUACAUAUUUGUAGUUUAUCGGGGAUAUCAAUAAAUAAGCUUUCCUUCAUUUCAACGUAUUAUGUUAAUUACACCAAAGCCUUCUUCGCUAAGUUCUUUGAAUUUUCUUUUGUUGAAGCUUUGUGAGUGGAGCAUGUAGGUUGAGGUAGUGUUCCCUUAAUUUCCUGAGUGAGGAAAACUUCUCGGUUGGAGACUUGGAAAAUCCAAGUCACUGAGUGGGAUCGGCUAUAUGAAUCUUAAAACGCCAUUGUGCUCGGUCCUAUGUCAUGUCCUUCGUUAGAUCCAAGUACUCUAAGUCUUUUCUUAGAGUCUCUUCCAAAGUUUUCCUAGGUCUUCCUCUACCCCUUUGGCCCUGAACCUCUAUCCCAUAGUCGCAUCUUCUAAUCGGAGCGUCAGUAGGCCUUCUUUGCACAUGUCCAAACCACCGUAACCGAUUUUCUCUCAUCUUUCCUUCAAUUUCGGCUACUCCUACUUUACCCCGGAUAUCCUCAUUCCUAAUCUUAUCCUUUCUCGUGUGCCCACACAUCCAACGAAGCAUCCUCAUCUCCGCUACACCCAUUUUGUGUACGUGUUGAUGCUUCACCGCCCAACAUUCUGUGCCAUACAGCAUCGCCGGCCUUAUUGCCGUCCUAUAAAAUUUUCCCUUGAGCUUCAGUGGCAUACGGCGGUCACACAACACGCCGGAUGCACUCUUCCACUUCAUCCAUCCAGCUUGUAUUCUAUGGUUGAGAUCUCCAUCUAAUUCUCCGUUCUUUUGCAAGAUAGAUCCUAGGUAACGAAAACGGUCGCUCUUUGGUAUUUCUUGAUCUCCGAUCCUCACCCCUAACUCGUUUUGGCCUCCAUUUGCACUGAACUUGCACUCCAUAUAUUCUGUCUUUGAUCGGCUUAGGCGAAGACCUUUAGAUUCCAACACUUCUCUCCAAAGGUUAAGCUUUGCAUUUACCCAUUCCUGAGUUUCAUCUAUCAACACUAUAUCGUCUGCGAAAAGCAUACACCAAGGAAUAUCAUCUUGAAUAUGUCAUGUUAACUCAUCCAUUACCAACGCAAAAAGGUAAGGAGUUAAGGAUGAGCCUUGAUGUAAUCCUACAGUUAUGGGAAAGCUUUCAGUUUGUCCUUCAUGAGUUCUUACGGCAGUCUUAUGCCCUCCGAAACGAUCUCCAAUAAAGAGUCACAAAUCUCUUCACUGCUCAUGGCAUCCAAAAAUGUUUCAGAUAAACCACGUCGCCAAAAAACAACAAUGGCGCAGCUCCUGUCCACUAACCGAACAUCAAAUUCUUCAGAGAAGACGGCAUGUGACUUGCACAACAAGCUCUUGAUCAUCCCUGCAGUCAUCCUACUUCUGAAUCCCCAUAAGAAUACCAAUUGAUCACAGCUGACCUUUCUCAAAUUCUUUGUCCAGACUCUGAUAUCCUCAUUGGUUGAUUCUUGGGGGCUGUCAAAACACGGAUUGGAAAUGUUCGUGAACUCUUCGACGGCUGGAGCCAACAGUGCAUUGUUAGAUACCAUAGUGUUGUUGGAAAUUUUCAGAACGGAGCAGAGCUUUGCAAACAAAUAGCACAUCUUCACCACAUUAUGCCUAUGAAUGUUGCCUUCACUUUCUGUAGAUGACAACCCAAACAUUGUAUGUAGUAAGAGAAGAAGUUAGGUUUGCUCUGAAGUAAAAAAAUGGCAUAACGGACAGCAAUUGACACAAGAAAUCACAGGAAAACCAAGUAAAACCCACAAGAGCGACAAAUAUGUGAAUUACUUCACUCUAUUCAACUGUGCAAACAUCUAGAUUCGUGCAGGGUCUUGUUCCUUAAAUUUCACUUCCCAUUACAAUUUUUCUCAAGGAACUCGGCAGAGCAUCUGCAAAAUGGAAAGCCAAAACACCUUUCAACAUCUGAAACCAAUGAAAAAUAAAAUCGUUGGAUCAGAUAAAAUCUGAUUCAAUACACCGGCACCAGAAAAAAGGAUUAAAAACAACAGGAGGUCAACAUACAUACCGUAGUACUAAAUGACCAUUUCCUUUUUUAUUUUAGGUUUAGAUUGUUUCAUGUAGAUCAGUCGAUAGAUCGAAUUUUAACCCAUAUUCAAUUGAAAUCAGACUUAAUUAAUAUAGUAUGGAUUGUGGUUUUCAAUCUAAUUAUAAUUACAAAUGAAUUUGGAUAUGUAUAGAGGUUGAUCGCAUCGGAUCAUUUAUAACAUAUUAUUUAUUGGGAAAAUUAGGUUCACAUCAUUCUUUUUGUUACUCCAUUGAUUAAAAUCCUAUUCAUUUUCAAUUUUUUAUCAAGGUCCUUGGGUAUUAAUAACAUCAUUAAUUAUUUAAAUAAUAAAAUAUUUUUAUUUUUAAAUAUAUUCCUUUAAUGUUAAAAAUGUUACAAUUAGUAUAUUUAUAUUUAUGGCUAAAUUUUUUUAUCAUAUAUUUUUAUUUUUAGUUUGUACCUAUUUUUUUAUUUGCAAAUAUUUUUUAAUUUGUACCAAUUUUCUUUUCAUUUUUAAUUUGUACCCAUAUAUAAGCUUCUUUUUGUGCCCAUAUUUUUUAAAGUUUUAUUUGUGUUUGUACCCAUGUGUAUACCGUCACGUGACAUUUAAUCAAUGAUAGAAAAAUUACAUAUGGUAUAUUUAUGUUUUAUGCCUAAACUUUGUAUCAUAUAUUUAUAUUUUUCGUCUGUACCCACUUUUAAUUUGCAACAUUUUUUUUAAAUUUGUAGUAUUUUCUUUUUAGUUUUAUUUUGUACCCAUGUAUUAAUUUCUUUUAGCACCUAUAUUUUUAAAAAUUCAUUUGUAUUCAUAAUUUUUAAUUUUUUAUCUGUACCCCCUAAUUUAUUUCUAAUGUACCCAUUCUUCUUUAUCAAUGUACCACUUUGUUAUAUGUGAAAUGUACCAAUUUUUUUAACACUAUGGAUAAAUUCUUUUGCCAUUUAUUAUUUAUUAUUUUUACAUAGUUUUUAUCCAUUUAUUCAAUCAAAAUGUUUGAAUUUUUUUAUUGUAACCGUUUCUAAUAGUAUUAUAAUGAGGGAUUUUAAAUUUAUAGGAUUAUAAAUCUCAUAAAAUAUCAAACAAUUAAUGUCAAAACUAUAAAAAUAUAAAUAUUAAUAGUAAUAUAAUGAGGUGUACAAAGUCAAGGGACUUUGAUCAAACUUUGAAUAUUAUUAAGAUUUUAAUCAACGAAUGUUAAGGAUUAGGGACCGCAUCCAAAGUAUCCCUUUAUUAUUUGUAUUUGGGUCUUGGAUUCAGUAAUUACUUUUCUUGUUUGUAUUUGGGCUUUGGAUUGAGAUAGGUGAACACUAAGGCGGUCAUGUGAAUCAAGUCACAAGGAAAAAUAAUGAAAUGGCAUCACAACGCCAACAUGUUGUUGAAAAAAGUAAGACUAUGGAGAAGAUUAAUUGUUGUCCAAAUUAGGGAUAAAAUUCAAACAAAAAGAGGAAGGAAAAAAAUUGAUGUCUAUAUUAGGAAUUGUUGACCCUAAAAGUGCAAAGCCUAUGUGGGACAUAAGUCGAGUAACUAUUGAACUAACUACUUUCUUAUGAAUGCGAGCGUGCCACCUCACGACUGAGCUCGGUCAGGCGAGUAGAAUGGAUGUUGUGGUGUUGCUGAAUGCGCUGCUGAUUUAUGCACCUGAGCAAUUACAGUCGAGGAGGGAACGCAUCUAUGCCUAGAGUUCUCGAACCUGAAGACAAUGUUGCUUAAUUCACUGUGAAGUUCAGGAUCUUCUGCAUCGAGUUUUGUUGCUUCAACUAUAUUCGUAAGUGCGCCGAAUCAGUAUCAAACUCUAUGGGAAAAGAUACUAAAAAAAUGCCUUUAUGGUGAAACAUGGUUCGGCUAUUUGAAUGCCGAAGUACAAAGUGACCUGAGAAUAACCGACCAUAGAAUAGUUCAUUUCAAUGAGAAGCUAAUGAAGUGACCUAUUUGGCCUAAAGAAUUGAGAAUUCUUCGCCGACAUAGACUUGUAUAAAUAAUCAACCAACCAGAAGCAGUCCUAUUUACUUGUCCAAAUUAAAGAUGUUCCUAAAUCGCCUGAUUCUAUAGCUCUAGUGUUGUUUACUUAUCUAAACUAUGCAUUGGACGACAACCAGAAUGCCAACUCACUCAACUGCGACUUGUGAAAAAUAACCGAAGUAUCUGGUCUUAGCGCUGAAUUAGAUUUCAUCAUAUUUUUGCUUUCAAGUUCACCUGUGCUCGAGAAGAUGAUUGUGGAGCCAGCUGCUAUUGUCAGAGGUUUUCCGGAACUAUUAAAAAAGGUGCUCCCGUACGUUUUGGUGUGUCUCGGAGAAUGCAGAGAUAAUAUACAUGGACCCUUGGUUCACGGUUCAUCCAUGAAACAAAUAUGGCAGAUACAGGCUUGCUGAACCGAAGUGUGGUUUUGAUAGUUGAGUGCUAUCCCUAAUCUGUUUUUGUCUUCCCAGUUUAAAAUGGUGGGGAAUUUAUGUUUGGGUACUAUUACCAACCAUUUUUUUCUUUGUAAACAAUAAUAUUUAGCCAUUGCUGACCCAAAAGUAAUAAUAUUAUGUCAUUUCUUGUGUGUGUGUGUAAAUAUAUGUAUAUAUGGAUGAUUCUUUUUUUACCUGAGACACAAGUAGCUAAAAACUAUCAGUCACUGUUGAUAAAUAACUACAUAAGCAACAGAAUAACCAUGUAUGAUCCACUGCCAUAUUGUAUGUCCUCUUCUUCCAUGGCCGUUUGCAACGAACACGUUUGCCAAACCAUGUGUUUGAGUUAAUAUUUAACAUUGGGCUUUAUGAUAAUGAUGCCCAAGCCCAGUUGAUAGGCCUGAAACAAUUUGAAGCCAUUUCAGCUAAGGCAUAGGCCAUGUGUCUAUGAUUAAAGUGAUGGAUGACAAAGACCAAUUCAUCACCAGCCAAAAACAUUUUCUAAUCACUUGACAAGUAAAUAGAUGAUGACUCACUGAGCCACCAGCCAGAAACAGAGCUAAAACAGUCAAGCCAAAUCGCCUAUAAAAAGAGAAAGGGACAUCAGAGACAAAGACACUCAACCAACCAAUCAAAAGACAUACAAACUCUGCUCUCAAGCCAGUUCAUACCCAGAAAGCUGAAACUUGUCCAGAUUCAGUCCUUUUAGCUAUAGUUCUCUUAGGAAAAACCAUCUUUUGUCUAGUGUAAAAGCUCUGCUACCUUUCCUUAGUAUUGUAGUAUCGAUUCCCUCGUGUAAAAUCUAUUUACUUGCCAUCUUUUUUAGCAUACAAACUUCUGUAAACCCAAAGAGAAAUGGUUUCAAGAAGUUCAACCUUACCCGACAAUGUGAAGUCUUCCCGAGUCUCUUUGUUUGUACUUUUAUUUAGUAGAUCUGUCGCUAAAUAUACUUUCCAUCAUGUAUUCAAGUUAUUUUCAACUAUUUUCUACUUAAGAGGCCCAGUUGCAUUAGAAUAUGGUUAAGUUAAUGAACAUGUUUUCAUUAAAAGAAAAUUGUGAUCGAGGAAGUGGUUGAAAGGGCCUUGAACUCCCUUCGUUUUAGACAUAUAAGAUUAUGAACUAAAAGUCUUUGUUUACAAGGCACGAAAAAGAACUUAAUACAGACUUAACCCAUCUAUGACAAUCCUUUGAUAAACAAGCAGUUUGAGUGACUUGGGGCGCAAGUAAUCAACUUAACUCACACCCAUUCAACAAUCUGUAGUACUAAGAUAGCAGUGGCACGCUUAGAUCCUUGUUAGUUUUGAUUGUGAGCCUCAAGGCCUACACCAAAGGCCCCACAAAGGCACCUUUCAAACUAACUACAAACUCUUCUUGCAGCACACCAAGCAGCAAGAACUUGCCCGACAACCAACAACAUGCCACCUCCUUAGGGAGCUCUGCGAGGGACUGGACCCAAAAAUCUUGCCUGAACACCCGGCACAGGUCCGAUCAAACACUGAAAUACUACAGCUUAUGACAUUCAUUAGUUUCACAGGAACUGACCAUUUUAAUUUUUUCAGUACAAGCAUAAACUUGAAACACUAAAGUAAUUAGAACCCAAACGGGACUUACUGUAAGAUCGUAAUCCUCUUACUCUAAAUCGGAUUAAUCGAAGCAAAUAAAUGUAAAUUGUUGAUGCACAAAAUCAGCGAGGACUUUGGUACAACAGAAAGUGUUAAGUUUGUGACCUUUGCUAGAUUGCUCCGGUCACUAGUGUGGAUAAAUAUGUAAAUGGAUAGAGACAGGGAAGCAAACACAAGAUGUACGUGGUUCACCCAGAUUGGCUACGUCCACGGAGUAGAUGAGUUCUCAUUAAUUGUGAAGGGUUUACACAAGUACAUAGGUUCAAACUCUCCUUUAGUGAGUACAAGUGAAUGAUUUAGUACAAAUGACAUUAGGAAAUAUUGUGGGAGAAUGAUCUCCUUUUAUAGAAGAGAGUUUGUAGCUUUGUUUUGACAUUGACACGUGUCGUGUUGUGAUUGGCUUCUGAUGUUGACACGUGUCGCGCUAUGAUUGGCUUCUGAUGUCGACACGUGUUGCGUUGUGGUUGGAGGGAAAUACUUCUGGGUCCUUGACGGUAUAACGUUGACCGGUGCUCAGUAGUUUCGGGAUUGGUCAAGUAUGGUACAAACAUAAAUAUUGCACAAAACUCAUACUCUACAAAUCUUAAGGGUUAUGAAAUAAUUUAGCCUCUAUUCUAAGACUAGAACAAUCGUGAACUUUGAAUAGAUGCACUUAAAUAUACAAAAUCCUGAUCAAACAAACGUUACUUCUCUUACCAUGCAUAGAGUUGUGUAACACACCAAAUCAUAACACAAGUGGUUUUUUCUUUCGAAAAGUCAAAACUGUUUAGCAGGAAAACCAUCUCGAAAAUAACCUACAAAUUAUCACACAUAGCGUAUAUCAAAUAUCAAGGCAUUUUAGAUAAACGCACAACAUUUAGAACAUUUUAUACUCGUCAUUAUACAAUAAAGUGCUUAUGAACCCAAAAACACUUUGACGAAAAACGCUUUCAGUAAUUUUAAAAAUGCUUCUAAAUGAGCAUAUUGGAAGAGGUUUAAAGCUCUUUUGGCUUUUGGAUAGUCAUAGCUAUGCGUCCUAAGCCAUAAUUUGUGUUAUGGCAUUAACCAAAAGAAAGGUUUUGUUUAGAUUGCUUUUGGAGUAUAGCACGCGACAAUUCUAAGCCGUAGAACGGUGAGUGUUAGAGCAAAACUAAUCUCCUUUCUAACAUGUGGAGUUUUGGAGGAACCGGACCCUAUCCGUUUUAAAUAGUAACAGGUCGGACUGGGCCGGGUAGAGAGAUUUUGAGUUUAGGAACCGGACCUAACUCGACCUGUUUGAAACGGGCCAGUUCGGGACGGGUCCACGGGUUCAAUUACUUUUUCUUUUUCUUUUUUUUCAGUUUUGGGCAUACUGCCAAACUGCCAGUGUCGUUUUUUCUUUCUCCUCUUCGCAUCAUCUUCAUUCUCUCUCUUUCUGUUUGCAACUUCGAUCGGCCUUAAUGCCGUCGCUUCACGAUUUGGGAACACGUCUCCACCUUUUCCCAAUCUUUGACUUUUUCACACUUACUUGUAUUUAGUUCGUCGGAUCUAAUGGUUUCUCAACUUGCAAGUGUUGGGAGGCGACGGAUCUACAAUAUUGUCAUCAUAUUGGACUUCAGACUUGGGAAAGAAGGAGAAGGAGUCGAUGAGGCUUUUCAAGUUGGGAACUGAAACGGCUGAUUAAAGAGGGUUGGGAAGAUGGGUUGAUUAAAGACCGUCAAUAGAGCUCGGUUUCCAUGCAAAUCUGAGUCAGACAGAGUUAGGCUUCCAUCCUUUCGAGUUCGACAGGUUUAUUAAAUACGGUUCAAGUCGGGGGCCCGUGUCUUCAAAAAAUUGGAUCCGCCUCGCCCCUCUGUUUACUUGAACCAGCCACGCCCCGUCCCGUUUUGUAUAUAAAAUAGUAUGGACCCGUCCCGUACCCAUCCCAAACCGCUAUUACCCGCGGGCCCAGGGCCCGUUUGCCUAGCCCUAAUUACAAAGUCAUCAUAAUUAAUCAUUGAGUCGCUAAACCAAUAAAUUUCUUUAGAAUUUGUAUAGCUGAAUUAGCUUUCAUAAGGUAGUUUAGAGAAACACUUGCAUACACUUGUUCGUAUACCCCUUCUUCAUACUGUUACCUUGCCCCAUUGUCUAAACGUUUGGUUUUUUUAUAUUUUCUUAUUAUCCUAUAAGGUUUUGAAUUAUCCUGUCCACUUGUUAUAAUUUUAUUGGUAGUUAUAACUGACAAGUAAGAAUUGAUGUUAAAAUGAUUAAUUCACCCUCGAAUUUAAUGGAAUAGGAGACAGAAUCUAACGGCAAUGAAUUAAUUAACUAAUUUCAAAUAAUUUAGAAGUUAAUUUACCAAAAAACUAUAUAAUUCGGUUAAUUUUAACUCAGUAAUAAUUCAAGUUAAACAACAAUUUAGCCGUUCAUAUAAAAUGCGGGUUUUCCAAAGAAAAAGAAAAGCUGUUCACCAUCUUUACAGAAAUUCAGUAAACUUGAAGUAGGUGCCGCAGUUUCAUCGAUCUGGGUUAAAUAAUUCCCCGUAUUCCUUGUCUCAUGGUAAGUUUUUUGGGUUUCAAUUUUCAUGCAUUCAACAGUAAAAUGCACCAAGUUUUUGUGUGGAUUGUGUUCUCCGUUUGUUGUUGGUUAUGGAAAGUUAGGGUUUUUGCACCUGCAAUCUUAUUCUUCCUUUGGAAUCUAGGCCACAGCCCAUAUAUAUAUAUAUAUAUAUAUAUAUAUAUAUAUAUAUAUAUAUAUAUAUAUAUAUAUAUAUAUAUAUAUCUUCUUGUGUUUUGUAUGACCAUAUGAAAUUUGGAAAUUAGUUGUGAGGGUUUGCUUACUAUGUCUCUCUGCACAAUCUGAAUCGCACAAGGUUGGAGUCUAAAUGUUCUUAACGCCGCUGAGCGCUGGCCAGUUUGUUAGAUUAAUGAAUUUUUUGUCUCAUUGAUUACUGGAAUAUCUCAGAUGGAAAGAGAACCGCCCAAGUCCCGUUUGAAAGUGUCAAUGGAGUUGGACAGAAUUAGCAACUUACCAAGUGACUUUAUAAACAAAAUUUUGUCAUAUUUGCCAAUUAGGGAAGCAGUUAGAACAAGUGUUUUAUCAAGCAAGUGGAGGAACAAAUCGGCUAUGCUUACUCAUCUUUUGUUUGAUGAUCGGUGCACCUCGGAUCAAAACCCUACAACCUUUGCAGGCAUUGUUGAUCAUGUACUCUUGGGUCACAUUGGCCCCAUUUACAGGUUCGCGAUCACUCAUUUCCGACCUCAAGUCGGUAGAGAUAUUGAUCGAUGGAUUCUUCAUCUGUCA